UGGGGAAUCUUAGACAAUGGGGGAAACCCUGAUCUAGCCAUGCCGCGUGAGUGACGAAGGCCCUAGGGUCGUAAAGCUCUUUCGCCAGGGAAGAUAAUGACGGUACCUGGUAAAGAAACCCCGGCUAACUCCGUGCCAGCAGCCGCGGUAAUACGGAGGGGGUUCGCGUUGUUCGGAAUUACUGGGCGUAAAGCGCACGUAGGCGGACCAGUCAGUCAGAGGUGAAAUCCCGGGGCUCAACCUCGGAACUGCCUUCGAUACUCCUGGUCUUCAGUUCGAGAGAGGUGAGGGGAAUUCCGAGUGUAGAGGUGAAAUUCGGAGAUAUUCGGAGGAAAACCAGUGGCGAAGGCGGCUCACUGGCUCGAUACUGACGCUGAGGUGCGAAAGCGUGGGGAGCAAACAGGAUUAGAUACCCGUGUAGUCC
rnacentral:rRNA from 1 species